rnacentral:rRNA from 1 species
GAGUUUGAUCGUGGCUCAGAUUGAACGCUGGCGGAAUGCUUUACACAUGCAAGUCGAGCGGCAGCGCGGGGCAACCUGGCGGCGAGCGGCGAACGGGUGAGUAAUGCAUCGGAACAUGUCCAAGUCGUGGGGGGAUAGCCCGGCGAAAGCCGGAUUAAUACCGCAUGUGCCCGAGAGGGGAAAGUGGGGGGACCGCAAGGCCUCACGCGAUUGGGUUGGCCGAUGUCCGAUUAGCUAGUUGGCGGGGUAAGAGCCCACCAAGGCGAUGAUCGGUAGCUGGUCUGAGAGGAUGAUCAGCCACACUGGGACUGAGACACGGCCCAGACUCCUACGGGAGGCAGCAGUGGGGAAUUUUGGACAAUGGGGGGCAACCCUGAUCCAGCCAUUCCGCGUGAGUGAAGAAGGCCUUCGGUU